rnacentral:rRNA from 1 species
AUACGUAGGGGGCGAGCGUUGUCCGGAAUGAUUGGGCGUAAAGGGCGCGUAGGCGGCGCGGUAAGUCUGGAGUGAAAGUCCUGCUUUCAAGGUGGGAAUUGCUUUGGAUACUGCCGCGCUUGAGUGCAGGAGAGGUUAUCGGAAUUCCCGGUGUAGCGGUGAAAUGCGUAGAGAUCGGGAGGAACACCAGUGGCGAAGGCGGGUAACUGGACUGCAACUGACGCUGAGGCGCGAAAGUGUGGGGAGCAAACAGGAUUAGAUACCCAGGUAGUCCACGCCCUAAACGAUGAAUACUAGGUGUGGGGGGACUGACCCCUUCCGUGCCGGAGUAAACACAAUAAGUAUUCCACCUGGGGAGUACGACCGCAAGAUUGAAACUCAAAUGAAUUGACGGGG